UACGUAGGGAGCAAGCGUUGUUCGGAUUUACUGGGCGUAAAGGGCGCGUAGGCGGCGCGGUAAGUCACUUGUGAAAUCUCUGAGCUUAACUCAGAACGGCCAAGUGAUACUGCAGUGCUAGAGUGCAGAAAGGGCAAUCGGAAUUCUUGGUGUAGCGGUGAAAUGCGUAGAUAUCAAGAGGAACACCUGAGGCGAAGGCGGGUUGCUGGGCCGACACUGACGCUGAGGCGCGAAAGCUAGGGGAGCGAACGGG
rnacentral:rRNA from 1 species